rnacentral:rRNA from 1 species
UGUAAAGGCAGUAAUGUCAUAGCCGAGUAGUACUAAUUACCCGUGGAUUUUUCAU